UGGGGAAUAUUGGACAAUGGGCGAAAGCCUGAUCCAGCCAUGCCGCGUGUGUGAAGAAGGUCUUCGGAUUGUAAGGCACUUUAAGUUGGGAGGAAGGGCAGUAAGCGAAUACCUUGCUGUUUUGACGUUACCGACAGAAUAAGCACCGGCUAACUCUGUGCCAGCAGCCGCGGUAAUACAGAGGGUGCAAGCGUUAAUCGGAAUUACUGGGCGUAAAGCGCGCGUAGGUGGUUCGUUAAGUUGAAUGUGAAAGCCCCGGGCUCAACCUGGGAACUGCAUCCAAAGCUGGCGAGGUAGAGUAGGGCAGAGGGUGGUGGAAUUUCCUGUGUAGCGGUGAAAUGCGUAGAUAUAGGAAGGAACACCAGUGGCGAAGGCGACCACCUGGGCUCAUACUGACACUGAGGUGCGAAAGCGUGGGGAGCAAACAGG
rnacentral:rRNA from 1 species